GAUGAACGCUGGCGGCGUGCUUAACACAUGCAAGUCGAACGGAAAGGCCAGUCCUUUCUCUGGUGCUCGAGUGGCGAACGGGUGAGUAACACGUGGGUGAUCUGCCCUUCACUUCGGGAUAAGCCUGGGAAACUGGGUCUAAUACCGGAUAGGACAAUGUGUUGGAUGCCGUUGUGGGAAGUUUUUUCGGUGUGGGAUGAGCUCGCGGCCUAUCAGCUUGUUUGUGGGGGGUUGGCGUACCCAAGCGUCGUGGCGUGGCCGGCGUGUGAGAGGGUGAGGGGACAAUUGGGGAGUGAGACAGCGCAGACACCUACGGGGGGCAGAAGUGGGGAAUAUUGCACAAUGGGCGCGAGCCUGAUGCAGAGAAGCGGCGUGUGGGGGAAGGGCGUUCGGGGGGUAUACUCCGUUCUCGAGGGAGGAGGAGCAUGUGUGACGGUAAUUGGUGAAGAAGCACCGGCUAACUACGUG
rnacentral:rRNA from 1 species